GUGGUUGGGGCCCGGGGGCACUGGUGGGGCACACUGCCACGCCCACACUCCGACACUCUAGCGUAGGCUAAAGACGCUUUCCUGGGAUAAGUGUACUAGUGCAGUGUUGUGAGAGUGUUGCAGUGUUGACACGACACCCGACACGCCGCGACAAACACGGAAAUACUUGUUGAAAGCCAAUCAAGUCGCAUGCUACAUGUUGCCCAUGUUGCCUCGAUGGAAUCCCGCCUUCACAUACUCCCUCCAACACCCACUAAUAGAGGCUCGAGUCUCUCAAUUAAUCCAUUGCAGAGAGAGAGAGAGAGAGAGAGAGAGAGAGAGAGAGAGAGAGCCUGAUGGAAAAGCUUUGUCUGAACCUGUUUAACAUGGAAUUAUUCAAGUGUUUUGCGUUUUCAUUAGUGAAACUUACACCAUUAUGAACUUUUCCGUAUGUAUAUAUAUAUGUGUAUGUUUGUACUCGUAUGUAUGAUAGUGUCAGUGAAUAGAAUAUACUCCCUGAUAGUACUAUUCAUUAUCACUGAAUAUCCUGAAUUUUAGAAACGUAUUCGGUGUACAUAUGGGUGUGUAUAGUGUAGUAUCAGUGUAUAGUGUCAGUGUGAUUACUGUAGUGUCAGUGUCAUUGUCAGAUAAAAGAACAGCUUGCAGACACUGCCGUAAGAUCAUUGAAUGUAACCGAUUUUCUUUCUUACACUGCUUUAUAGAUGUUGAAAAAUAGUGUACAGGUGUGUGAAGGUGUGUAUAAAGUGCGUGCAGAUGUGUGAGUGUGCCAAAGUGGCAGGAUAGGCCUACACUGCCAGGGAGGGGAGAAAAAACGAGAAGUUGAGACGUGGCACCUGUCUGGAAGGCGUUAUGGCGCGCUCGCCGAUCAGCUGAUCGCUUGUUAUUGCAGUGAUGGCCCUUCCUGCCUCCCAACCUGCAACCUGCCUUAGUCUGUCUUAGGCCUUUCCCUAGCCUGGAGCACCUUGUAAUCCUGCAGGUCAAGGUCAGGUCACAACUGCCAGGCCAAAAGGUGAAAAAUGAAGCGGCUUACUAAGAAGACUGUUGAAUGGUGUGCAGGCCACCAGCAAAAAAGGCGUCCAGGAAAUGCAGGUUGUGGAAGCUCUGCAGGCUGACGCUUUCCAGAUUGCCAAGAUAACAGUCCUGCCUGCCCAGCAUGCAAGUUUCAAUUGUGUUAAGAUAUAGGGAAAGACCAAUCAAAGAGGAGGAGGAGGAGGAAAAAGAGAAAGAUAAAAAGAAGUGAAGAAAGAAUGAAUGAAGAGAAAAAAAGAAAAGAACUUUCUGGAACAGCGACCUCACUUGAGGCACACUGUGACCCGAGAGACGACGGCCCAACAACACUGAGGUCAAACAGGCUCUCUUCCUUAUGCAGGAAAGUCGAGUCAAGAGUCCCUGAAUGCUGCGAAGGAAACACACUGCUGCAGGGAACACUGCACCCACCACCAAGCCAAGCCAAACCACAACACAAACCUUCAACAACAUCUGGAGCUAUCAACAACACACAAAGUACAAGACAACACCUGCAGCAAUGAAGAACAUUUAGGUUAGGUUAGAACGCCUGAGGGUUAGAACACCUGGAGUGAUGAAGAACAGGUUAGGUAAGGCAGUUUGGCAUGUUUUUUUUUUAGGGCAUUUUUA